rnacentral:rRNA from 1 species
AGUGAACGCUGGCGGCGUGCCUAAUACAUGCAAGUCGAACGGAGAUUAAGUAGCUUGCUAUUUAAUCUUAGUGGCGCACGGGUGAGUAAUGUAUAGCUAAUCUGCCCUACACUAGAGGACAACAGUUGGAAACGACUGCUAAUACUCUAUACUCCUCUCUAGCAUAAGUUAGAUAGGGAAAGUUUUUCGGUGUAGGAUGAGGCUAUAUUGUAUCAGCUAGUUGGUGAGGUAAUGGCUCACCAAGGCUAUGACGCAUAACUGGUCUGAGAGGAUGAUCAGUCACACUGGAACUGAGACACGGUCCAGACUCCUACGGGAGGCAGCAGUAGGGAAUAUUGCUCAAUGGGGGAAACCCUGAAGCAGCAACGCCGCGUGGAGGAUGACACUUUUCGGAGCGUAAACUCCUUUUGUUAGGGAAGAACAAUGACGGUACCUAACGAAUAAGCACCGGCUAACUCCGUGCCAGCAGCCGCGGUAAUACGGAGGGUGCAAGCGUUACUCGGAAUCACUGGGCGUAAAGGACGCGUAGGCGGAUUAUCAAGUCUCUUGUGAAAUCCUAUGGCUUAACCAUAGAACUGCUUGGGAAACUGAUAAUCUAGAGUGAGGGAGAGGCAGAUGGAAUUGGUGGUGUAGGGGUAAAAUCCGUAGAGAUCACCAGGAAUACCCAUUGCGAAGGCGAUCUGCUGGAACUCAACUGACGCUAAUGCGUGAAAGCGUGGGGAGCAAACAGG